rnacentral:lncRNA from 1 species
GAUUUGUCUUCCUCCCUACAAUGGGCAUUUGGAUUAUUUCCAGUUGUUGGCCAUGCUGAACAAUGCUGCUAUGAAUAUUUGCAUAUGAGUCUUGGUGUGGACGUACAUUUUCAUUUCUCUUGAGUAGUUAUCUGAGAGUGGAAUUACUGGCUUUAAUGAUGGAGAAACUGAGGCUACGAGAGGUUUAGUGACUUUCCAAAGAUCACCCAGAGUGCGGACUCAAAUCUAGAUCUUUGACAACAAAGUCUAGGUUCUUCUCAUGUGCUACAGUGACUCUAGGCAUUUCCCAUCAUCGUGUAAUAAACCAGCCAGUUACUUAGCCAUCUGAAAAGAAUACGAAAAUAGAAACAUCACCCCACUGGAUCAGAUCUGUGAAGAGAGCCGCAGCUUCGUGUCCAGUCUGACAGCGGGAGUUUGUGGGAGCGUGAUCAUUUCAGAGCUAGAAACUUCACCUUCAAAACCUUCCCAAGGAGCCUGUAGGAACCUCUUUACCAAUUUUUACUCCUUGUUGUCUACUGAAUAGCUUCAGGUGGUAUCUUUUAAAGCUUCAGAUAAAAAUACAUUUAGGGCCCUGUGUCAGUCCUUAACAGCAUCGUGGUGGUGAGAGAGAGGGGACUAAGGCAUCAGUUGUUUUUUACUAAGAACUAAAGGACUGUGUUUUAGGGAUUGCAAAUGGGUAGAUGAAAGCUGGAGAAAUUGAAAGUGGCAAAAUUAUUCAAGAAGUUGCAAUGUUCAAACAAGGCAAAAAUUGUCAUGAUAAGUGUCUCUGGUUUACAGUGAAGGUAACUGGAGUUUGGUGGCGGGUUUCAGUGCCUCUGCGGGCUGGAGAAAGUACCCAGUGCAGGGUCAGCAAACUGCGGCUUGGGGGUCAGAUCCGAGCUACCACCUGUUUUUGUAGAGCCCAUGAGUUAAGAAUGCUUUUCGAAUGUUUAAAUGGUUGAAAAAUAAAUCAAAAGAAUAUUUUAUGACAUGUGAAAGUUAUAUGAAGUUCACAUUUCAGUGUCCAUAAAUAAAAUUUUGUUGGAACACAACCACGUCCAUUUAUUUACAUGUUGUCUCUGGUGGCUUUUGUGCUACAACAGAAGAGUUGAGUACCUGUGACAAGG